AUGCUUCAGACUCUUGAAAUGUUAGAAAAGAAGGAAAAUUUACUAAUGAAGAAGGCGAAUCUUGAAGUUGAGAAGGCAAAGGCGUUCACCAAAGCCAAGAACAAAAAAGCUGCAAUACAAUGUCUGAAGAGGAAGAGAUUAUAUGAGCAACAGGUGGAGCAGCUUGGGAAUUUCCAAUUGAGGAUUCAUGAUCAGAUGAUAAUGCUGGAAGGUGCAAAAGCUACAACAGAGACUGUGGAUGCAUUGAGAACCGGAGCAUCAGCAAUGAAAGCUAUGCACAAAUCAACAAAUAUUGAUGAUGUUGACAAAACCAUGGACGAAAUUAAUGACAACAUGGAGAACAUGCGGCAGAUCCAGGAUCUACUAUCUGCGCCUAUGGGAGCAGCAAGUGAUUUCGAUGAAGAUGAGCUGGAAGCUGAACUUGCGGAUUUGGAGGGUGAGGAGUUGGAGGCACAGCUACUAGCACCUACCACAAGUGCUCCUAUGACUGCUCCAGCGCGUGUACCUCAGCAGUCGAGUCGGCCCACUGCGCAGAGCAGUAAAACUGAAGACGAUGAGCUGGCAGCUUUACAAGCUGAGAUGGCUAUGUAAUUAGUUUGCAGGACUUGGCGUGGUCAUGUUUAGAGACCAGAUUGUGCAAAUAUAUUUGGGACCACGGUAUUUUCAUGGAGGUCUUCCUGGGAAGACGUCAGAAGUACACACAGAAACUAGAUGCAUCUCACCCUGAUGGUCUCUUAUGUAUAUCUUAUCAUGUUACUUUUGUAAUCAAACAUCUAAGAUGCGCUGUCGAGCGCAUUAUCAGCUAAUAAAGGGCAUCUGCCAUCAUUGUAUAUUUCUAUAUAAAGUGAGUUAGUUGACCGACCACUCAACUUUUAUUUCCUACUACUAGCUAGCCUGUGCGUUGGAACGGGGGCACACACAUUUUAGUUGUUCGCGUCAGUUGUGUAUCACAUAUACCUAUUACCCACUAUCUCUGCC
rnacentral:rRNA from 1 species